CGAAAGCCUGACGGAGCAAUACCGCGUGAGGGAGGAAGGCUCUUGGGUUGUAAACCUCUUUUCUCAGGGAAGAAAAAAAUGACGGUACCUGAGGAAUAAGCAUCGGCUAACUCCGUGCCAGCAGCCGCGGUAAUACGGAGGAUGCAAGCGUUAUCCGGAAUGAUUGGGCGUAAAGCGUCCGCAGGUGGCUGUGUAAGUCUGCUGUUAAAGAGUGAGGCUCAACCUCAUAAGAGCAGUGGAAACUACAUAGCUAGAGUACGUUCGGGGCAGAGGGAAUUCCUGGUGUAGCGGUGAAAUGCGUAGAGAUCAGGAAGAACACCGGUGGCGAAAGCGCUCUGCUAGGCCGUAACUGACACUGAGGGACGAAAGCUAGGGGAGCG
rnacentral:rRNA from 1 species